rnacentral:sRNA from 1 species
UUUUAGCCCCGAUAGUAGCGUCAUCCUUUUUACGUCAGUUCGAGUUUUUGCGAAGCAAAAGUAUCGAGAACAAGUAAAAAGAUACAGCGAAUAGCGGGAAAUUGC